GAGAGGGGUCCGACUGGAGUGCAAGUAGCACAACCGUGCAAGGCUGCAAGCAACGCUUGCUAGGCCUCCGAUCCCCAUCGAACGGUGCAUGUAAAUUUUGCAGAAGAACCCUCUCGCACCAGCAGAUCCGCCCCAUGUACACUUUGCACAAGCCCCCUCCAAAUACUAUACCUCAUCCUCACCGGUUCGUGAGUUCAUGUGCCUGGUGAUCACGUAAUCUCCACGGUUCGGCAUGAAGAGGUGCCGCCGCCGCCCUCCAUCCAACCGCAAGAACGAGCUCUGGCCGGGCACGGACGGAGGACACUCUGUCUCUUCCCGCAGGUCGCCAGAACUCGGCCGCCGGCCACCACUCGGCCGCCGCGCACCACUUCCUCAGACUCGAUAGUUCAGGCUUCUGGUCGGUGUGGGUCCCUGUUGCGGUAUUGGAACCUGCGUCCACUGGUUUUAAUUUCAACGAUCAGCUCAUCGCCUACGUGCGCCCGGCUCAGGAGGAGAAUAGUUAGUCGUAUAAUAAUGGAUGAAGUUGGGCAUAAUAGGCGUAAUUGCCCAAACAAGGGGAGCUGAAGCAGCGGCUCAAACAUGCUCGCAUUUACCUGUGGCAAUGAAGCAAUGUGUUUAAUGCUACACUUUCAGGAUGAUUUGCUAAAAUAAUGUGCACUUAUAUUUUUUUAGAUGCCAAAAACAAUUUGGAUGCUAUGUCAAUUCUAUAGUUUUAUUUUCUCUUUGGAUCCUGGAACACAUUUGUAUUCAAGAAUUCCUCCACUGUAACACCUGUCCCAACUUCCUGCCUUCUCUGCUCUUAUUUCAUAUGCAGCAGCAGCAUGUUACCUAUACAUACAACUCGAUUGCUGAGGCAAAAGAUCAUCUAUUUUCAUUCUUGAUCA